rnacentral:misc_RNA from 1 species
GAUGAAGAACGUAGCAAAAUGCGAUAAGUAGUGUGAAUUGCAGAAUUCCGUGAAUCAUCGAAUCUUUGAACGCACAUUGCGCCCGUCAGUAUUCUGGCGGGCAUGCCUGUUCGAGCGUCAUUACGCCCCUCAAGUCCCCUGUGGACUUGGUGUUGGGGAUCGGCGAGGCUGGUUUUCCAGCACAGCCGUCCCUUAAAUUAAUUGGCGGUCUCGCCGUGGCCCUCCUCUGCGCAGUAGUAAAACACUCGCAACAGGAGCCCGGCGCGGUCCACUGCCGUAAAACCCCCCAACUUUUUAUAGUUGACCUCGAAUCAGGUAGGACUACCCGCUGAACUUAAGCAUAUCAAUAAGCGGAGGA